UCCCAGACUCCUACGGGAGGCAGCAGUGGGGAAUAUUGCACAAUGGGGGAAACCCUGAUGCAGCGACGCCGCGUGAGUGAAGAAGUAUCUCGGUACGUAAAGCUCUAUCAGCAGGGAAGAAAAUGACGGUACCUGAUUAAGAAGCCCCGGCUAACUACGUGCCAGCAGCCGCGGUAAUACGUAGGGGGCAAGCGUUAUCCGGAUUUACUGGGUGUAAAGGGAGCGUAGACGGCAGUGCAAGUCUGAAGUGAAAGCCCCGGGCUUAACCCGGGAACUGCUUUGGAAACUGUACGGCUGGAGUGCUGGAGAGGUAAGCGGAAUUCCUAGUGUAGCGGUGAAAUGCGUAGAUAUUAGGAGGAACACCAGUGGCGAAGGCGGCUUACUGGACAGUAACUGACGUUGAGGCUCGAAAGCGUGGGGAGCAAACAGGAUUAGAUACCCCUGUA
rnacentral:rRNA from 1 species